rnacentral:rRNA from 1 species
GACGAACGCUGGCGGCGUGCUUAACACAUGCAAGUCGAACGGAAAGGCCCUGCUUUUGUGGGGUGCUCGAGUGGCGAACGGGUGAGUAACACGUGAGUAACCUGCCCUUGACUUUGGGAUAACUUCAGGAAACUGGGGCUAAUACCGGAUAGGAGCUCCUGCUGCAUGGUGGGGGUUGGAAAGUUUCGGCGGUUGGGGAUGGACUCGCGGCUUAUCAGCUUGUUGGUGGGGUAGUGGCUUACCAAGGCUUUGACGGGUAGCCGGCCUGAGAGGGUGACCGGCCACAUUGGGACUGAGAUACGGCCCAGACUCCUACGGGAGGCAGCAGUGGGGAAUAUUGCACAAUGGGCGGAAGCCUGAUGCAGCAACGCCGCGUGCGGGAUGACGGCCUUCGGGUUGUAAACCGCUUUCGCCUGUGACGAAGCGUGAGUGACGGUAAUGGGUAAAGAAGCACCGGCUAACUACGUGCCAGCAGCCGCGGUGAUACGUAGGGUGCGAGCGUUGUCCGGAUUUAUUGGGCGUAAAGGGCUCGUAGGUGGUUGAUCGCGUCGGAAGUGUAAUCUUGGGGCUUAACCCUGAGCGUGCUUUCGAUACGGGUUGACUUGAGGAAGGUAGGGGAGAAUGGAAUUCCUGGUGGAGCGGUGGAAUGCGCAGAUAUCAGGAGGAACACCAGUGGCGAAGGCGGUUCUCUGGGCCUUUCCUGACGCUGAGGAGCGAAAGCGUGGGGAGCGAACAGGCUUAGAUACCCUGGUAGUCCACGCUGUAAACGGUGGGUACUAGGCGUGGGGUCCAUUCCACGGGUUCCGUGCCGUAGCUAACGCUUUAAGUACCCCGCCUGGGGAGUACGGCCGCAAGGCUAAAACUCAAAGGAAUUGACGGGGCCCCGCACAAGCGGCGGAGCAUGCGGAUUAAUUCGAUGCAACGCGUAGAACCUUACCUGGGUUUGACAUGGAUCGGGAGCGCUCAGAGAUGGGUGUGCCUCUUUUGGGGUCGGUUCACAGGUGGUGCAUGGCUGUCGUCAGCUCGUGUCGUGAGAUGUUGGGUUAAGUCCCGCAACGAGCGCAACCCUUGUUCACUGUUGCCAGCACGUUAUGGUGGGGACUCAGUGGAGACCGCCGGGGUCAACUCGGAGGAAGGUGGGGAUGACGUCAAGUCAUCAUGCCCCUUAUGUCCAGGGCUUCACGCAUGCUACAAUGGCUGGUACAGAGAGUGGCGAGCCUGUGAGGGUGAGCGAAUCUCGGAAAGCCGGUCUCAGUUCGGAUUGGGGUCUGCAACUCGACCUCAUGAAGUCGGAGUCGCUAGUAAUCGCAGAUCAGCAACGCUGCGGUGAAUACGUUCCCGGGGCU